AGAGGAGGAGGAGGAAGAGGAGGAGGUGGAAGAGGAGGAGGAGGAGGUGGAAGAGAAGGAGGAGGAAGAGGAGAAGGUGGAAGAGAAGGAGGUGGAAGAGGAGGAGGAAGAGGAGUAGGAAGAGAAGGAGGCGGAAGAGGAGGAGGAAGUGGAAGAGAAGGAGGAGGAAGAGGAGGAGGUGGAAGAGGAGGAGGAGGAGGUGGAAGAGAAGGAGGAGGAAGAGGAGGAGGUGGAAGAGACGGAGGAGAAAGAGGAGGAGGUGGAGGUGGAAGAGAAGGAGGAGGAAGAGGAGUAGGAGGAAGUGGAAGAGAAGGAGGAGGAAGAGGAGGAGGAGCUUCUGUAUGGUGAGGUGACGUUCACACCGAACCACUCAAACAAUCCGCAGGAGAUUCAGGAGCAGUGUGUUUUCUAGGGGUGUAACAGUUCACAUAAAAAAAAAAAAAAACUGUACGGUUCGGCACACACUCAUACCACAGUUCAACUUUAAUCUGACAAGGCAUUUGUAAUAUGGUUUGGUAAAAAUUAAAAAAAUGUGGUUAAUGUUUCUGUCAGUGGAUACACAU
ensembl:lncRNA